rnacentral:tRNA from 1 species
GGGGAUGUAACUUAGUUGGUAGAAUGCUUGCCUCACAUGCACAAGGCCCUGGGUUCAAUUCCCAGAACCACCA